ACUCAGCUGACGAGUCCCAAAUAGGACGAAAUGCUCGUCAAACUGGAU
rnacentral:hammerhead_ribozyme from 1 species